AUUGAACGCUGGCGGCAUGCCUUACACAUGCAAGUCGAACGGCAGCAUGGAGAGCUUGCUCUCUGAUGGCGAGUGGCGAACGGGUGAGUAAUGCAUCGGAACGUACCGUGUAAUGGGGGAUAACGUAGCGAAAGUUACGCUAAUACCGCAUACGACCUGAGGGUGAAAGCAGGGGAUCGCAAGGCCUUGCGUUAUACGAGCGGCCGAUGUCAGAUUAGCUAGUUGGUGAGGUAAAGGCUCACCAAGGCGACGAUCUGUAGCGGGUCUGAGAGGAUGAUCCGCCACACUGGGACUGAGACACGGCCCAGACUCCUACGGGAGGCAGCAGUGGGGAAUUUUGGACAAUGGGGGCAACCCUGAUCCAGCCAUGCCGCGUGAGUGAAGAAGGCCUUCGGGUUGUAAAGCUCUUUCGGCCGGGAAGAAAUCGCACCUUCUCAUACUCUGUGUGGAUGACGGUACCGGCAUAAGAAGCACCGGCUAACUACGUGCCAGCAGCCGCCGUAA
rnacentral:rRNA from 1 species